UUUCCGUAGGUGAACCUGCGGAAGGAUCAUUAAAAAUGAAGCCGGGAAACCGGUCCUUCUCACCCUUGAUUAUCUCAAAUUGUUGCUUUGGUGGGCCGCGCAAGCACCGGCUUCGGCUGGAUCGUGCCCGCCAGAGGACCACAACUCUGUAUUAUAUGUCGUCUGAGUACUAUAAAAUAGUUAAGACUUUCAACAACGGAUCUCUUGGUUCUG
rnacentral:misc_RNA from 1 species